rfam:Candidatus Rokubacteria bacterium 13_1_20CM_70_15 13_1_20cm_full_scaffold_9336, whole genome shotgun sequence.
GCGUCCCUGCGCUGUUUGUGAUGUCGGGGGAAAGUUUCAACCUCGGAAACACAACGGGAGCUGUGACAGAGGGUGGUGCGCAAGCCCCUCCGAGAAGGGGAAGCCUGAAGCCCUCUUAAUUAACGGCGCCCACCUGGUCAAGCCAGGUUCGAAACACCGUCGGCACACGGCAGAGGCGGGGAUUUG